AGAGUUUGAUUCUGGCUCAGAACGAACGCUGGCGGCGUGGAUAAGACAUGCAAGUCGAACGAGAGAAUUGCUAGCUUGCUAAUAAUUCUCUAGUGGCGCACGGGUGAGUAACACGUGAGUAACCUGCCCCCGAGAGCGGGAUAGCCCUGGGAAACUGGGAUUAAUACCGCAUAGUAUCGAAAGAUUAAAGCAGCAAUGCGCUUGGGGAUGGGCUCGCGGCCUAUUAGUUAGUUGGUGAGGUAACGGCUCACCAAGGCGAUGACGGGUAGCCGGUCUGAGAGGAUGUCCGGCCACACUGGAACUGAGACACGGUCCAGACACCUACGGGUGGCAGCAGUCGAGAAUCAUUCACAAUGGGGGAAACCCUGAUGGUGCGACGCCGCGUGGGGGAAUGAAGGUCUUCGGAUUGUAAACCCCUGUCAUGUGGGAGCAAAUUAAAAAGAUAGUACCACAAGAGGAAGAGACGGCUAACUCUGUGCCAGCAGCCGCGGUAAUACAGAGGUCUCAAGCGUUGUUCGGAAUCACUGGGCGUAAAGCGUGCGUAGGCUGUUUCGUAAGUCGUGUGUGAAAGGCGCGGGCUCAACCCGCGGACGGCACAUGAUACUGCGAGACUAGAGUAAUGGAGGGGGAACCGGAAUUCUCGGUGUAGCAGUGAAAUGCGUAGAUAUCGAGAGGAACACUCGUGGCGAAGGCGGGUUCCUGGACAUUAACUGACGCUGAGGCACGAAGGCCAGGGGAGCGAAAGGGAUUAGAUACCCCUGUAGUCCUGGCAGUAAACGGUGCACGCUUGGUGUGCGGGGAAUCGACCCCCUGCGUGCCGGAGCUAACGCGUUAAGCGUGCCGCCUGGGGAGUACGGUCGCAAGAUUAAAACUCAAAGAAAUUGACGGGGACCCGCACAAGCGGUGGAGUAUGUGGCUUAAUUCGAUGCAACGCGAAGAACCUUACCUGGGCUUGACAUGUAAUGAACAACAUGUGAAAGCAUGUGACUCUUCGGAGGCGUUACACAGGUGCUGCAUGGCCGUCGUCAGCUCGUGUCGUGAGAUGUUUGGUUAAGUCCAGCAACGAGCGCAACCCCUGUUGCCAGUUACCAGCACGUGAAGGUGGGGACUCUGGCGAGACUGCCCAGAUCAACUGGGAGGAAGGUGGGGACGACGUCAGGUCAGUAUGGCCCUUAUGCCCAGGGCUGCACACGUACUACAAUGCCCAGUACAGAGGGGGCCGAAGCCGCGAGGCGGAGGAAAUCCUGAAAACUGGGCCCAGUUCGGACUGUAGGCUGCAACCCGCCUACACGAAGCCGGAAUCGCUAGUAAUGGCGCAUCAGCUACGGCGCCGUGAAUACGUUCCCGGGUCUUGUACACACCGCCCGUCACAUCAUGGAAGCCGGUCGCACCCGAAGUAUCUGAAGCCAACCGCAAGGAGGCAGGGUCCUAAGGUGAGACUGGUAACUGGGAUGAAGUCGUAACAAGGUAGCCGUAGGGGAACCUGCGG
rnacentral:rRNA from 1 species